ACGAGCUUGUGGUUUGUGACUCUGUUUCUUUCUCUGUUUUUUGGGUAGGUCUUAAUUUGGAUAUAUAUCGUGAAAGGGUGAAUAAUUAAUCAAGGGAGCAAUAUAUAACGGUGCACUUUCCGAUGGAAGAGCCUGGGGAAUUUUCUUCUCGUUUUUUUUUUUUGACAAGGAUUGCAAGCAGCAUAGUUCAAUAUUCUUAUUUUCCAUGGUUAGGCAAAAGAACUUCGGGGAUGUGGAUUCAUGUAUAUCUGGCUCCAGCAGCAUGAGAAAUUUAAGGACUGAGGGACAGAAGAAUUUCCUCACGGCUGAAUGGUGUGAAAAGAAAAGUUCAUAAUCGAUUCAUGGUCCUUGGGUGCAAAUCGCAACACGGUUACAAGGCUUGCUUGAAAAAAAUUCCAGCUGAUAAUGUGUUCUCCAUCUUGGUUUCAAUGAACAAGAGGUGGCCCUGAGGCCACAACAUUCGGGAGUUCUGUCACUCUUCUUUUGGUGGCCAAGAAGCACAAUUGCUCCCUCAAUAAACCCUCACAUGAUAUCCAUAUCGCGACCCAGAAACUGAUGAUAACUAGAGCGACAGAUCGAGAGAAAGAGGACACAUACAUCAUCAAGAAACAACAUUGAAAAGCCUACAUGGACACCAUGAAGCUCGUUUGGUCUCCAGAAUCAGCCUUGAAAUCCUACAUCGACACUCUUAAAUCAGCGUUCUGUCACUCUUCUUUUGGUGGCCAAGAAACACAAUUGCUCCCUCAAUAACCCUCACAUGAUAUUCAUAUCGCCACCCAGAAACUGAUGAUAACUAGACCCACAGAUCGAGAGAAAGAGGACACAUACACCAUCAAGAAACAACUUUGAAAAGCCUACAUGGACACCGUGAAAAGUCAAAUCAAUGAUAGAUGGAGGUGUUGACGCCAAAAGGGUGGUGGCAGCAGAGGAGGUGGAGACGGCGGUGCCGCGGCUUCAUUACUAAUCAAUGUUCUUGUUUCUUGUAGGAAGGGUUUGAACUUUGGAUAUUGCUUACACAGAGAAAAGGAGUGGUGCAGCAGAUCAAGAAUCAGGUAAAUGACUUGAAUCUAACUUUUAUUAUUAAUGAUCAUGAGUUAAAGAUUAUGAAUUUCUUAACCAAGUCUAGGACUAUCUUAGCUUUUUAUACGGUAUUCUCAAGCUAUAUUUGUUUAUUUUUAUAUAUGACCAUGGGGAGACUUAGAAGUGUCAAAUGCUUACGAAGGAAGAAGAGCCUAUUGAAUUGAGGAGACCACGGUAACUUUUCUCAGGUAUACACUACACACAUUAUAAUUUUUUAACUUCCCAAGGACAUUUAGUAAGGGUGGAAAAAUUUAAGUGUGUAUAAUCCCAGGUGAGAAAAAAUUUACAUUGUUCGUGUUACAUACUCUAACUAUGUGUAUUUGUGUUCUACAAUCAAGAUAUAAUCUUUCUAUCAAGGAUAAUCACCAAUCUAUGUAAUUUAAAUGCGUUUUCCGGGAAUAUGCAUCCUUCUUCCAAAAACUGAAAGUGAAGACAAGUAAAUGCAGAGAGAAAGAACCUUUAACACCAUGAAGCUCCUUUGGUCUCCAAAAUCAUCCUUGAAAUCCUACAUCGACACUGUUAAAUCAGUAAGAACCUUUAACAUCAUGAAUCACAUAAUUAAUAAUUUUCUUUCUUUAGCUUCUUCAUUUUGUUUUAUUCUUUCUUUAUCACUUUCUUUUCCUCUUGAUAUGCACAAAUGAUAUAUACGUAAUUUGUUUUCCAUUGUUAUAACUUUUGCCUUUUAGAUCUAUUUUCUUGUCCUUGCAUGUGUAUAUAUGGUUAUGCAACAAAGUAAUUCAUAUACUUUAUUAAAUAUGUUAGUUUUCACUUAAAAGAUUCGUACCAAAUAUCCAAUGGAUAAGAAGGAUAUGGAUGUCUCCAUUGAAUAUGUAUAUGAAUUAUUCACUAGGGUUUUGAGGGAGCAUGAUGCUACCAUCUAAGAAGCUAUUUGGAUAAUUUUGAAGAGAAAGUUAGUUAUGAUGAGAUGUCCAUUUGUUGUUGCACUCAUUUAUUGUUUUACAUUGCUUAGAGAAUAUAUAAGGCACUUGUUGUAUGAAAAGAUUAUUGUUCUAGGUUUAGGUUUCACCAGUUUUUUAUACCUAAAUAAAAUUGUGAAGAGUUCAAUCCUAUUUAUAAAUCAACAAUAAUUCAAUUUUGUGCUUCCAUUAAUGAAAACAAAUUCAGUAUUUCAAAUAUCAAGUUGUUUACGGUUAUUCAAUUGAGAUUCAAGCACUUUUCUAUGUGGUUUUAAGGUGUGUUUUAUUGCAUGAGCAAGAUGUUGAAUGCAGGGGGUUCAUAAAACAAAUUGUCAAACUUUUGCAUGCCUUAAGCUCUCAUCUGAGAAGUUAUUUUUUGACGGAUUUGAAGUAACUUAACUACAUAUAUCACCUUAAAACAGAGCAGUACUCAUCUAUUGUUUUACUAUUGAAGUACAACAAAUUUAAUGUUAGAAGAAUGACAUUAAACUUGUUGUGUAUAGUAUUUGAGUACUCUUCUAUUUUGAAGCAAUAUACGUGGUUAAGUUGUUUCAAAUCCAACCUAAAAUAAUUUAGCUUAAGACAUGCAAUUGUUUGACAAUUUGUUCUAUUAAUUCAUUGCAUUCAACAUUUUGCUUAAGCAAUUGCAUGGAACACCUUAAAUCCAUGAAGAAAAGUGUUUGAAUCUCAAUUAGAUAACCAUAGACAACUUGAUGACAUAAAAAAUAUGAAAAUAAGAAGUAUUGAA